rnacentral:rRNA from 1 species
AAGCGGAGGAGCAUGUGGCUUAAUUCGAUGCAACGCGAAGAACCUUACCAGGGCUUGACAUGUAGCUGCAAGCCCCUGAAAGGGGGAAGCCUUCGAGGGUGCUACACAGGUGCUGCAUGGCUGUCGUCAGUUCGUGCCGUGAGGUGUUUGGUUAAGUCCAGCAACGAACGCAACCCUUGUGUCUAGUUGCCACCGACGGCGUAAAGUCGUCGAGCACUCUAGACAGACUGCCUGUACAAGCAGGAGGAAGGUGGGGGAUGACGUCAAGUCAGUAUGGCCCUUACGCCCUGGGCUGCACACGUGCUACAAUGGUCGGUACAGAAGGAUGCAAGACCGCGAGGUGGAGCAAAUCCCAAACGGCCCAGUUCGGAUUGGAGUCUGCAACUCGACUCCAUGAAGUUGGAUUCGCUAGUAAUGGCGCAUCAGCUACGGCGCCAUGAAUACGUUCCCGGGCCUU